rnacentral:rRNA from 1 species
AGUCGAGGGGUAUAGUUCUUCGGAGCUAGAGACCGGCGCACGGGUGCGUAACGCGUAUGCAAUCUACCUUUUACAGAGGGAUAGCCCAGAGAAAUUUGGAUUAAUACCUCAUAGUAUGUGAGAAUCGCAUGGUUUUCACAUUAAAGUUCCAACGGUAAAAGAUGAGCAUGCGUCCCAUUAGCUAGAUGGUAAGGUAACGGCUUACCAUGGCGACGAUGGGUAGGGGUCCUGAGAGGGAGAUCCCCCACACUGGUACUGAGACACGGACCAGACUCCUACGGGAGGCAGCAGUGAGGAAUAUUGGACAAUGGGCGCAAGCCUGAUCCAGCCAUGCCGCGUGCAGGAUGACGGUCCUAUGGAUUGUAAACUGCUUUUGUACAGGAAGAAACACUCCCUCGUGAGGGAGCUUGACGGUACUGUAAGAAUAAGGAUCGGCUAACUCCGUGCCAGCAGCUGCGGUAAUACGGAGGAUCCAAGCGUUAUCCGGAAUCAUUGGGUUUAAAGGGUCCGUAGGCGGUUUAAUAAGUCAGUGGUGAAAGCCCAUCGCUCAACGGUGGAACGGCCAUUGAUACUGUUAAACUUGAAUUAUUAGGAAGUAACUAGAAUAUGUAGUGUAGCGGUGAAAUGCUUAGAGAUUACAUGGAAUACCAAUUGCGAAGGCAGGUUACUACUAAUGGAUUGACGCUGAUGGACGAAAGCGUGGGUAGCGAACAGGAUUAGAUACCCUGGUAGUCCACGCCGUAAACGAUGGAUACUAGCUGUUGGGAGCAAUCU